GUGAAGAUGCAGUGUACCCGCGGCAAGACGGAAAGACCCCGUGAACCUUUACUAUAGCUUGACACUGAACAUUGAGCCUUGAUGUGUAGGAUAGGUGGGAGGCUUUGAAGUGUGGACGCCAGUCUGCAUGGAGCCGACCUUGAAAUACCACCCUUUAAUGUUUGAUGUUCUAACGUGGACCCGUGAUCCGGGUUGCGGACAGUGUCUGGUGGGUAGUUUGACUGGGGCGGUCUCCUCCUAAAGAGUAACGGAGGAGCACGAAGGUUGGCUAAUCCUGGUCGGACAUCAGGAGGUUAGUGCAAUGGCAUAAGCCAGCUUGACUGCGAGCGUGACGGCGCGAGCAGGUGCGAAAGCAGGUCAUAGUGAUCCGGUGGUUCUGAAUGGAAGGGCCAUCGCUCAACGGAUAAAAGGUACUCCGGGGAUAACAGGCUGAUACCGCCCAAGAGUUCAUAUCGACGGCGGUGUUUGGCACCUCGAUGUCGGCUCAUCACAUCCUGGGGCUGAAGUAGGUCCCAAGGGUAUGGCUGUUCGCCAUUUAAAGUGGUACGCGAGCUGGGUUUAGAACGUCGUGAGACAGUUCGGUCCCUAUCUGCCGUGGGCGCUGGAGAACUGAGGGGGGCUGCUCCUAGUACGAGAGGACCGGAGUGGACGCAUCACUGGUGUUCGGGUUGUCAUGCCAAUGGCACUGCCCGGUAGCUAAAUGCGGAAGAGAUAAGUGCUGAAAGCAUCUAAGCACGAAACUUGCCCCGA
rnacentral:rRNA from 1 species